rnacentral:lncRNA from 1 species
AACAGAUAGCCUGUGUUAGCUUUGGCUUCCCUGAUUCUAAUCAGCACCUAGGCUAGGAAGUUGGGGUGACUUUGAUCUUGCUGGAAUCCUUGGUGUUCUUGGGAGCUCAUGUAGUUGACUGACUAAAAAAUUUAAUCUCUCGCGGUGAAUGUGUUCUUCCUAGUUUUUAAGGAAGAUUUUGGGGAAGUCUUUCAUCCUGUAGUCAUUCUUGAAUUUGUUGUCCAUGUAAAUAUGGAUUUUUCCAUUAUUAUGUUUGUGUUAAUCACAGCACAGUGAAGAAAUUUCUCAUUCAUGAAUCACUGGCCAAGGAACGUUGCUCAUAGCUCCAUAAAAACAACGCAGACAUCUUUGAUACUUAGUUAAAAAGCAUCACUCACGCCUAGCUUUGACCCCAGGUGACCUGAAAAUGAGGUUUGAGGACCACUGGACUUCUAAUCACCCCAGAUGCCACUACAAACGCAGAGUUUGGGGUCUUGUCCCGCACUCACCAAAUCAGAAUUCUUCAGUUUUAACAAACUUCCCAGAGACCCCUGAAGCUCACUAAAGUGGACGUGCAUGCUGGUGCCUCUGACCAAGCUUCUUCCUAAGGGCUCACAGUGAUGAUGGCUUUGUACCCACAACGUCAGCCUUUGGGAUCCUUGACCUCUGCCCUGCCUCCUGCCCGCAGCAGGUCGUCACGGGUCAUCUGUGGUCCCACUGCCUCUGGGGGAUGAGCCUGCAGGCAGCAUCAUUCUCCAGGUUUUCCCAGGACAGGAUCUGAGCACAGUGUUUGACAGCCCUGAGCAAAGAUCUCAAAAGCACCAUCUUUCCGGGGAGGGGAGCCAAACCCCUCUUCUAGGCUCUGGUUAAAACCAGUGCAAAUUAAAAUACAAAAAACAAAAAUAAAAAAAACCAGCUGUUGAUUCACAAAGCAGAGUCCUGCCUGCAUUUAGGAAAGGUUACUUUAUCCCCAAACCAGGAUCACUGCCAAGUGACUGACUUACCUGCACGUGGGGUACUUGUAGCUUCUCUCCAGCUCUGCCUCACCCCACCCCCACCCUCAGCCUUUCAUGGAGGCUGAAACCAGUCUAGACUGUAAAUGGAGCCACGUGCAGAUGGUACCUGUCACAGUAGCUCCCAAGGCAAAUGAGCAGUGGUCGUGACAUGCAGGUAAAGGCUUAAGGGCCAGCUCUUUGGGGGAGGGGCUGGUUUGUACAUUUGGUGAUUUCCGUGAAGGAUAUACUCCCAUCCUGGCCAACGUUAAGCUACCGCCUCUCAAGACGUCUGCCGAUGUCACGAUGGGCUCCUGUGAGCUGGGAUGAAUUGGCUCCAGCACAGGACAAUCCCAAGACAAAGAGACUGAUUGGCUUUAACUGGGUUUGUGCAGGGAGGGGUGACCGAGGCCCACAGCUAGCUCUGCAGUAAAGAGGGAGGACUGGGGAGCACUGGCUAGUCAGCCUAGACUUCGGGGGAGAGCAAAUCCCUGUUCUGGCUCUUGUUAUUUCCACCUCUCUCCUGAGCAGCUGAGAACAGCCAUGUGGCAGAGGGCGUGUGAUUUUUCACGGACUUCAGGGGCACUCAUCUUCGCCUUUAAUGGAAAACCAUCCCAGCUUAUACCAAUGGGAAGAGCUAAUACCCAUAGCUCUGUGCAUCUCUGGUGGGCAGAGGAAGUAGACGGGAGCCGUUUCUAUGUGCAUCUCUCUGCCACACCACUGCUGAAUAUGUGUUUUAAGAGCAACGGGUACUGUGAGCAAUAAUCAGAGAUGAAGUGGAAUUCAAGAGCCCGACUCAUGCCAGUUUCUAAACUCAUCCUUCCUAAGUGUGGCUGGAAAGGGAGGCGGGGCCAAUAGGCACACACCCCCCUCUCUCCCGGUGAGAGGAAACCUCACAAUGGGUUCCCUAGACCAAGAGCUCCAGAUGGAGUGAAAGCCCAGAGGUGGCAAAUUCUGUGUCACUGUGUGACCCUGGGCCUCUCAUUGAGCUGCCAGAAGCCCUGGGUUCCCCAUGGCGCUGGGGACCCAGCACGGUUCUCAGGAGCGCUCUUCUGGUUGCAAGGAACAGACACUACUCGGACUGGCCCAAGGCAACGCUGUGUUAGCUGUGGGGAUGAAGGGAUCCUAGAGCAGAGCAUUGCAUCCAUCCAGGAGAACAGAGGCCGUUCAGGACUGAGGCGGUCCUUCGGUUUUCUUUCUUUCUCUGGUUCCAUUUGGUCUUUCAUCUCCUCUCCAAUCUCCUGCCUCUGAAGACAGGCCUCCUUGUGCCUUUAGACUGUACUCAGCCCGACAUGGUCACCCGUCAGCGCUCACCCGCAGGAGUUCUCAUCUCAUGUUCUCGUCUCCAAGAGUGCCUUGGAGGUCAAAUCUACAGGAAUGAAAAUCUGAUUGACCUACGUUGUGUGUUUAAGCCAAGCAGAUGCUGAAUCACAGGGCAGACCCUGCACUCCGACGUCCUUUGGCUGUGGUGUCUGCCCACGUGUGAUCCUCUCGGCCAUGACUGGAGAAGCCGGGGCGAGAAACACAGCACGUGCCGGUGUGUCCUUGAGGAAGCCACGAUGCAGCCCUCAGUGCUUCCCAGAACUGUGGGCUGCACAUGAAUGGCAUGAAACACUGUAACAGACAUCCAGAGAUGACCAGCUUUUUGCAUAGGAUUGAAGAAAUCCAUAUUGCAAUACUAUAUCAUUGAGUUUUGAUAACAAAUUUUAGUUUUUUAUGGGAAGAGAGGUUUUUUUUCUCCCCUUUGCUUCUGGUUAUUUUCUUUUUUUUCAAGUUUUGAAAAAAUUACAGUUGAUUUGCAAUGUUCUGUCAUUUCUAUGACACAGCAAAGUGACCCAGUUAUACAUAUAUAUAUACACACAUUCUAUUUUUGCAUAUUACCUUCUCCUGUUGUAUCACAAGUGAUUGGAUACAGUUCCCUGUGCUGUACAGCAGGACCUCAUUGCUUAUUCAUCCUAAAUGGAAUCGUUUGCAUCUACUAACCCCAAACUCCCAGUUCAUCUCACUCCCUCCCCCUCCCCCUUGGCAACCACAAGUCUGUUCUCCAUGCCUGUGAGUCUGUUUCUGUUUUGUAGAUAGGUUCACUUAUGCCAUAUUUUAGCCUCUACAUAUAAGUGAUGUCAUACGGUAUUUGUCUUUCUCUUUAUGACUUAGACACUGAUACUCAGCAAAGCGAUUACCCCAAGGCCCAGCUGUUAGGAAACGGCAGAACUAGGCUUAACGUCAGGUUUUCUGACUCCACAUCCAGGGCUCUUUCCUCCUGGCAAAGGAUCAGACAAUCAAGGGCGAGGAAGGACUGUACAGAAACGGUUCUGAAGCUUUAUCUAGAGCUCAGGACUUUGGUUUUAAGUGAAAGAAUCCAACUCCGACUAUUUUGAGCAAAAUGAGAAUAUACUGGCUUCUGCAACAGAAGAGCUCAGGAGCAUCUGGACUCCAAACAUGGAGCCCUGGUGUUCUUCCUCUCCCCUGGCACCACCUUGAGGCUUCCUGAUCCUUAGGAUUCUCAGUCAGACUUCCUCUGCAAGGAGACAAGGGGGCCUCCAGCAUCUUCACAGCUUCACAUCCAGGAGGAGAAAGUCCUGCAUCAUGACAGUCUAAGAAAUCCAGAAAUUGAUCUUGGACUUGACUAGAUCCUGAGCCCAUUCCUGGAUCAGCCCAUCACUUCUGCUGGGUGGAUCUGAUGAUCCCAGAGGCCUGGCAGGAGUCCCAAGUUCACCACAGAACCCUGAGUUGGUGUCAGCCCACACGCAAUCCUGGGACUUGAGAGGAGGGGCGGGGUGGCUCCCUGGAGCGAAACUGAGGUGCUGUGACCUCAGAGGAAGGGGUGAUGGCUGCUGAACAGGCAAAACACAACAGUUAUUCCCCUUGGGGUAGGAAAAAAUGAAGCGCAUGUGAGCCUGAGUGAACUCUGGGGGCACAGGUAGGAGACAACACUUAGCACUUGGGUGUGGACACAAGAGGUGCCCAAUAAAUAUUGAUAAAUAAAUGAAUGAAUGGUCCAGACUGUUGUGGAAUAAUGAAGGGCAGGUGCCUCUGGGGCAUAGGACGUAUAAGGGAACACUGGAGAGAAGAUGCUGGGGCCAUAAUGAAAAGUACCUUGUAAGCCACGGUGCUUGUUUUCAGGCCAUGAGAGCUUCUGAAGGUUUUUUGAUCCAGGGUGUGCCAUGGUCAAUGUUUGGAGGAGAAAAACAAAAACAUGGAAAUUUCAACGUGCUAUACUCUUGUGCAAGUAUUAUCUUUUAUGGGCCUGGUGUGUCCUCCUUGCCCUUGAAGCUUUUCCCGUUAAGAUUUGGAAUCCCUUUAUCUGAAAGUCCCUAAGACAAGAAAACUGUGAGUAGUCACAGGGGCAGAGUGGCAGCGGGCUACCUGAGUCUGAUCAGGUACGCCCACCCCCUUUGUGGGCCUCCACGUAUGUAGCCCCACCCAGACGAAGGUGAAGGCCUGAACUCCACGACACUGGAGUUUCUCAGACUCACAUCUGUGGGAUGGUAGAACAGGUCUGGGUGCGGCCCCCCCCGGGGUGUGUGAACGUUCUUCGUGCUGGAGGUGUGCUCGCUGCCAUGCAAUUUCAUGUCAUGACUAGGCAUGAUUUAUUGGCAUUCUUUAUUACACCUGACUUGGAGGAGGGGUCUCGGAUGAGACUUCCGGGGAUGGGGGGAAUAUCUCACCACGAAUGCCCUCCCAGGACCAGGCACAUCUCAAGUGGUGACUUGAAUCGACUGGGGUUGGAAGAGUAUCGGCAGAGAGCUCU